CCACAUAUCGAUGUGAUGGCUGACAGGUCUUCCACUGUGAAGAGGGGAGAGAUCUACAACUGUAACUCUUGGCAAGCUGCCAGGGUGGUUAAACGAACCCUGAGUGAUGAGAGGACUUUAAACAGCGUCACGAUUACAAGAUUUUCCAACAGCAGGAAAGCGCAGCUAGAAGCACCGCGCCGGUCAAUCAUGUUCGGCUCCUGGAUUCUGGCUGUGUUUUGCGUUUGCCUCUUCUUCCUCUUCAUCAGGAUCCAGAGGCCUAAGAACUUCCCUCCUGGACCACGACCCAUCCCUAUAUUCGGCAACCUGUUUCAGCUCAACAUCAACAAUCCUCUGAAAGAUUUUGAGAGGUUGGCUGAGCGCUAUGGGAAAGUCUACAGCCUGUACAUCGGGAGAAGACCAGCUGUUGUUCUCACUGGUUUAAAGGCAAUAAAAGAAGCUCUGGUGACCAAAUCUGCCGACUUUUCCGGACGUCCAGAAAACCUUCUGGUCAGCCAUGUCACGGAAAUGAAAGGGGUUAUUAUGGCUGAUUAUGGUCCUGCAUGGAAGGAACAUCGGCGCUUCGACCUCAUGACACUGAGGAACUUUGGCAUGGGCAAACAGUCUAUGGAGAACAGGAUUCUGGCUGAAAUUAAGCACAUUGUUGCACGACUGGAAAAAACUAUCGGCAGCUGCAUGAGUCCUCAAACUCUGUUCCAUGACUCAGCAUCAAAUAUCAUCUACCUGUUUUUGAUUAGCACUCGUUACGACUAUGAGGAUAGUACCCUUAAAGAGUAUGUUCGGCGGAUGACGGAAAAUGCUAAGAUCGCCAAUGGACCCUGGGCAAUGAUUUAUGAUACAUUUCCUGUGGUGAGAUAUCUGCCCCUUCCUUUUAAGAAGGCCUUUACAAAUGCUCAGAUAUUAAAGCAAAGGGCAGCAAACAUGAUAAACAAGCACAAAACAACAAGAGUGCCAGGACAGCCACGAGACUUUGUUGACUGCUAUCUGGACGAGAUCGAUAAGAGAGUUGAUGGUUCGUCUUUUACCGAGAUACAGCUUGUGAUGCAUUUGGUGGACCUGCACUUGGUGGACCUGCAUUCCUUUACCUCAUCACUCAUCCAGAUGUUCAAGAGAAAUGCCAGCAGGAGAUUGACGAGGUUCUGGAGGGAAAAGAUCAUGCAUCUUUUGAAGAUAGACACAACAUGCCAUACACACAGGCUGUGAUUCACGAGUCUCAGCGCAUCUCCAACACCGUGCCUCUGAGUGUGUUCCACUGUACCACUAGAGAUACUGAACUGAUGGGCUACAGCAUCCCAAAGGGCACUCUCGUUAUCCCCAACCUCUCCUCGGUAUUGGCUGAAGAAGGCCAGUGGAAGUUUCCUCAUGAAUUUAACCCAUCGAACUUCCUAAACGAACAGGGACAGUUUGAGAAGCCUGAGGCCUUCCUGCCCUUUUCUGCUGGUCCUCGUACAUGUCUCGGUGAAGGUCUGGCUCGGAUGGAACUCUUCCUUAUCUUGGUCACCCUGCUGCGUCGUUUUCAGUUCAUCUGGCCUGAAGAUGCAGGAGCACCAGACUACACUCCUGUAUAUGGAGUUACACUUACUCCUAAACCUUACAAGAUGUGGAUCAGGCUGAGACAGGCAGCUAGAGGAAUGCAGAAUUAGUCAGGAAAUAUCUGUACACUCAUGAUGGUAACUAACUGAACAACAAUAAAAAAAAAACUCAAUAAAAUAAAAAGACAUAAAUUA